GACGAACGCUGGCGGCGUGCUUAACACAUGCAAGUCGAACGGAAAGGCCCUGCUUUUGUGGGGUGCUCGAGUGGCGAACGGGUGAGUAACACGUGAGUAACCUGCCCUUGACUUUGGGAUAACUUCAGGAAACUGGGGCUAAUACCGGAUAGGAGCUCCUGCUGCAUGGUGGGGGUUGGAAAGUUUCGGCGGUUGGGGAUGGACUCGCGGCUUAUCAGCUUGUUGGUGGGGUAGUGGCUUACCAAGGCUUUGACGGGUAGCCGGCCUGAGAGGGUGACCGGCCACAUUGGGACUGAGAUACGGCCCAGACUCCUACGGGAGGCAGCAGUGGGGAAUAUUGCACAAUGGGCGGAAGCCUGAGGCAGCAACGCCGCGUGCGGGAUGACGGCCUUCGGGUUGUAAACCGCUUUCGCCUGUGACGAAGUGUGAGUGACGGUAAUGGGUAAAGAAGCACCGGCUAACUACGUG
rnacentral:rRNA from 1 species